UGGACAGAAAGACCCUAUGAAGCUUUACUGUAACUUGAAAUUGAAAUUGGACUUUAUUCGCGCAGUAUAGGUGGGAGGUGUUGAUUAUAAUCUUGCGGGAUUAUUGGAGCCAUCAGUGAGAUACCACUCUUGUAAUGUUAGAUUUCUAACUUUGAAUCAUUAUCUGGUCAAAGAACAGUUUCAGGCGGGCAGUUUGACUGGGGCGGUCGCCUCCUAAAUGGUAACGGAGGCGUACAAAGGUUUCCUCUGAACGGGUAGAAAUCAUAUCUAGAGUGUAAAGGCAUAAGGAAGCUUGACUGUGAGACCUACAAGUCGAGCAGGGACGAAAGUCGGUCUUAGUGAUCUGACGGUACUGAGUGGAAAGGCCGUCACUCAACGGAUAAAAGUUACUCUAGGGAUAACAGGCU
rnacentral:rRNA from 1 species